AAACCAUAAUGUGGACAACUCCUUAAUAAAUCCUUGAACCGUUCCUAACAAUCAUACAAAGUCUCAUUCUCCUCUUGAAGAAACCCUGCUAUAUCGUUCCUCAACUU
rfam:Ricinus communis cultivar Hale ctg_1100012358814, whole genome shotgun sequence.